GCUUGUACUUCAAAUCUAUCAGAUGAUUUUCUUAAUUCUACUACCGUAAUAAGAGGUGAUCAAUUUUAUCUCAAGAUGUCGAAAAAUAUUUUAUUAAUUUUAAUCAUUGUCGUAUUAUUGACUUUGAUUGUUAAUUCCGAAGAUUGCAUAGUGUGGAUGCAGACGUGCAAUUAUUGGGUAAGAGGAAAAUGCUGCGGCAGUAUGUCAUGUAAAAUAACGGACAGUUUUUGGAAAGGUGUAUGUUCAUUUUAAUAAAAAUUAAUUAAAAAUUUAAUUAUUUGUUACUAUGAACUUUGUGAAAAAAAAGAGGGUUUCUCUUUUGUAAUA